rnacentral:misc_RNA from 1 species
GAGAAAGUGAAGGAAAUAGAAAUGGAAGAUGAAGAAGAGAUAUUCGACGGAGUACGAGCUCAGUUCCCUCUCACCUUCGGCAAACAAUCUAAAUCCCAAAUCCCGCUCGAACAAAUCCACAACACCACCCGCCGCCCUACUCCCCCCAACACCACCUCCGCCGACAAAUCCAAUGCUUUCCCUUCUCUCUCUUCCUCCUCCAAGGCCUGGCUCGACUCUCUUCGCGCCUCCAAAACACCUAACCCUAACCCUACAAUUGGGCCUUCUCCCCUACUUUCUAAGCCCCGGGACGAUGACGAUGGCGAUGGCGAUGGCGAUGUCGAUGUCGAUGUCAUCAUUGGACCCCCUCGCCCGCCACCAGGUUUUAGUAAUGCGGCUGAGGAUGAUGAUGGAAAGGUUAUGGUAGGGCCUUCUGGUGAUGACGACGAUGAUUCUGUGAUGAUUGGACCGCCGCGUCCGCCACCGUCACAAGAUUCGGACUCUGAGGAAGAAGAGGAGGAGGAUAAUCGGUAUCGGAUUCCUAUGAGUAAUGAGAUUGUGCUCAAGGGCCAUUCUAAGAUUGUGUCAGCUCUCGCUGUUGAUCACACUGGGUCUAGAGUUCUUUCUGGGAGUUACGACUAUACAGUACGCAUGUAUGAUUUCCAAGGGAUGAAUUCACGUUUGCAAUCAUGUAGGCAGCUUGAACCAUGUAAAGGUCAUCAAGUUCGCAAUUUAAGCUGGAGCCCCAUUGCAGAUCGUUUUUUGUGUGUGACUGGUUCUGCUCAAGCUGAGGUACUUCCGCAUAUCUUCUUAUUUUUACAAUUGGAAGCUGCAGUGGAGAAUGGCAUCCUAAAAACUAAGGAGACUAUUUUAACAUCAUCAGAGGAUGGAUCAUUGCGUAUAUGGGAUGUAAAUGAUUUCAAAAGUCAAAAGCAGGUCAUCAAACCAAAGCAUGCUAGGCCUGGAAGAAUUCCAGUUACAACACGUGCUUGGGAUCAUGAAGGAAAAUGCAUUGCUGGUGGCAUUGGAGAUGGUUCUAUACAGAUAUGGAACCUGAAGCCUGGAUGGGGAAGCAGGCCAGAUGUGUAUCUUGAGAAAGCCCAUUCUGAUGAUAUUACUGGUCUUAAAUUUUCCAGCAAUGGACGAUUUCUACUUUCAAGAAGCUUUGAUGGCUUACUGACAGUAAUGAUGAAAGACAUGUCAAAGCAUAUUUUGGUUUACUUUCUUCAUCGAGUAUAUGUUCAUUUUGGAUACUUAUUGUCUACUCUUCUUCCCAUGCAAACUUUUAUGCAUGUUAGGUUUGGGAUUUGCGAAAAAUGAAAGAUUCUCUACAUGCUUUUGACGAUCUUCCAAAUCACAAUGCUCAAACAAAUAUAGCAUUUAGUCCUGAUGAGAAGCUCUUCUUGACUGGAACAUCUGUGGAAAGGGAGAGCACAACUGGAGGUUUGCUGCGCUUUUAUGAUCGGGAAAAACUUGAACUUGUUUCUAGAAUUGGAAUUUCCCCAACUUUUAGUGUUGUGCAAUGUGCUUGGCAUCCCAAACUAAAUCAAGUUAGACCAUAUGACAUGCUUCUGUAUUCAAGUUUGCAUUUUCUGGUGGUCUGUGGUUUGUGUUAUCGUGUGCAUUUAAGCUAAUUUGUUCCCCUGAAUUAUUUUUAUUAUGCCUGUGAGAACUAUCUCCUGUUCAACUUUAUUUUGUUACUCUGGUAUAAUCAUGCAUGCAAAAAGUAUGGAGUAAGAAAUACACUGAAGUCUUGAUUGCCUUAUUUGUUAAAAGAUCUUUUCAACAUCAGGAGAUAAGAGCCAAGGUGGAACUCACAUAUUAUAUGAUGAGACAGGAGCUCUUGUCUGCGUUGCACGGGCACCACGGAAAAAAUCUGUGGAUAAUUUUGAGGCACAACCUGUUAUUCAUAACCCUCAUGCACUACCCUUAUUUAGAGAUCAGCCAAGCCGUAAGCGUCAGCGAGAGAAGAUAUUGAAGGAUCCCAUUAAGUCCCGUAAGCCUGAGCUUCCAAUAACAGGACCAGGUCAUGGUGGGAGAGUUGGGGCAAGUAAAGGAAGCUUGUUGACCCAGUAUCUACUUAAGCAAGGAGGAAUGAUCAAGGAGACAUGGAUGGAGGAAGAUCCAAGAGAAGCUAUAUUGAAGUAUGCUGACGUUGCAGCAAAAGAUCCCAAGUACAUUGCUCCAGCAUAUUCACAAACCCAGCCUGAACCAGUUUUUGCAAAAUCAGAUUCUGAGGAUGAAGAAAAGUAAUCUGAUCAUCUUGUUUCAUUUGCUGUUUGCAGCCUGGUAAUGGAUCUCAUGGUAUUUUCUCUGUGGGAGGGCUCAGCUGUUCAUGUAGUAACAGUAGAAUAUUGACACAUCUAAGGAAGUUAUAUUGUGCCACUACCCUUGCCAAGAAUUGGUAGCUCAAUUUUCUUUGCUGUUUAUUUGUGGGUGAGAUCAGAUCUUUGCCAUCUCUUCAGUAAGUUCAACAGCAGAAGGCAUUGAAGAAGAAAUAAUGAAAUAUGCUGAAAGUUAUCAUCAUAGCUUACAAUUGGUGAUAGUUAAAAUAGGAGAAUUUCUGAUGUAUUUUUCGAAGUUCUGAUCUCAGUAACAUGGACAGGGCUAAAAUGUAGAUGAGCACCAAUCUCAUAAUCUAUGUAUCAUAGUCUGCUUCUCUGCUGUAGAUUUGUCGAAAGCUGCCAACUGGUGCCUAAAGAAGUUGUGCUCUCUGAGUUGGGACAUCUUCAGCUUGAUGUGGUGUUCAAUCUUCACUACCCUUGUAAUGCUGUAUAAUUUGCCAUUUUAUUGGUUCCAACUGAUCCUCGAGAAUUAGUCUCUUCUUGCUUGUAAUAAAAGAUAUGCUAGAUGAAGGUAAUGUUUCCCAAAGUUGGGUGCAGAAUCAACCUGUUAUUAUUACUACUCUA